AGAGUUUGAUCCUGGCUCAGGAUGAUUUCUAGCUACAGGCUUAACACAUGCAAGUCGAGGGGCAGCAUCAUCAAAGCUUGCUUUGAUGGAUGGCGACCGUCGCACGGGUGAGUAACACGUAUCCAACCUGCCGACAACACUGGGAUAGCCUUUCGAAAGAAAGAUUAAUACCGGAUGGUAUAGUUUUCCCGCAUGGGGUGACUAUUAAAGAAUUUCGGUUGUCGAUGGGGAUGCGUUCCAUUAGGCAGUUGGCGGGGUAACGGCCCACCAAACCAACGAUGGAUAGGGGUUCUGAGAGGAAGGUCCCCCACAUUGGAACUGAGACACGGUCCAAACUCCUACGGGAGGCAGCAGUGAGGAAUAUUGGUCAAUGGACGAGAGUCUGAACCAGCCAAGUAGCGUGAAGGAUGACUGCCCUAUGGGUUGUAAACUUCUUUUAUACGGGAAUAAAGUGAGCCACGUGUGGCUUUUUGUAUGUACCGUAUGAAUAAGGAUCGGCUAACUCCGUGCCAGCAGCCGCGGUAAUACGGAGGAUCCGAGCGUUAUCCGGAUUUAUUGGGUUUAAAGGGAGCGUAGGCGGGUUGUUAAGUCAGUUGUGAAAGUUUGCGGCUCAACCGUAAAAUUGCAGUUGAUACUGGCGACCUUGAGUGCAACAGAGGUAGGCGGAAUUCGUGGUGUAGCGGUGAAAUGCUUAGAUAUCACGAAGAACUCCGAUUGCGAAGGCAGCUUACUGGAUUGUAACUGACGCUGAUGCUCGAAAGUGUGGGUAUCAAACAGGAUUAGAUACCCUGGUAGUCCACACAGUAAA
rnacentral:rRNA from 1 species